AGAGGAAGGAUGGCUGCCACACGGGUUUAUAGCCUACCCGCAAUUACUGCUUCUUCACCCCCCCCUCAUGUUGGACUGAGGGCAGACUGGACGGCACAGCGACUCACUGUCGCCCCCUGAGGAAAACUCAACUUUGUGAAUUUUUGGAUCCCAGGAAACUCUGCCUCCUGGCACUGCUCUCAUAAAUAACCCGAAAAUGGCCGAAUGCAACGUGGUGAUUUCCACCACGUUGCAUUCGGCCCGGAUCCAGUGAGCAGAGAGACAGCAAGAGAAGUCGAGUCCAAGCAUAUAGAUAAAAGCUGAAGUAGAACAUGCUGGGCCUUCGCGUGACAGAACAUCUUUAAUGCAUCACUUAAGUGGACUUUCACCUCUGCUGUGGUUUUGCGAGUCAGUUGUACGGAGGGUGGUGUACAGUAUACACACUCACACAUGCACGUGCGCACACGUAGCGGACGGCUGGAGCCCCGGGGACAUUGGAGAACUCCCUCAGGGGAAGUGAGGGGAGUAAUGCUGCCAUUCCUCGAUGUUACCAACUGCUGCCCAGCUGUGAGCAGCGUUGGAGUUUCCUAACAAAAGCAGAGCUGCAGCUUACGGACGCUGAAACUCUUUAGGACUGUAGCACCUCAAGACAAAGACUGACUCCUGGACCAGCAGUCCACCCAGGACCAGUGCCAGCUGGAUUCUUGGCCUACAUCGUGCUGAUAAGAGGGAUCCAACACAGGGACUUUAGAUCGGACACUGUGGAGCCGCAGAGCCACAGAGACCUUGAGGAACAGCCACCACGCAUGAGUUUUAGCUCAGCCAGCAGGAUCAUUUCCUCAGCUUUAAAUAUUCAAGAAGGUUAUCCGUGCUGGGCGAGCCGGUGAGUUGAAGGUAGACGACAAGUGCUACGACAGCACCCAGCAUGCUUGUAUCAAUUAAUCCUUUUCAGGAACCGUGUGGUUGCCUUUCAUCUGUCUCUCUGUCAAAAUAACAUUAAAGACAUGCCACCAAAUCAACUGACAACUGAACUAUUGCUGUCAUACAGUCCCAUAGUAUCUGCAGAAACCUAUGUGAGAACCUUAAAAGCAUGAUUAUUCCAGUAUUUGUGGGCCUUGUCUUCUGGAUCCUAUUAAGAGAAACUGGCAGGUUGUAAAGCUAUCACAACUUCAAACAGCUGCUCAAACAAAACAGCAUACAGUAGAGUGUUUUAAUACAGAUGCAGGGAAGCUAUAACAGGGCUAUUGUAAAACCAUCAAGCUAGAUUGCUUUUUUAUUGCUUUCCCAACACAAGCAACACUUUCAACCUGAAUGGCAAUAUGCAAUAUGCCAGUCUGAUUUUACAUCUCUUAGUACAUGUCCUCUAAAAAAAUCCACAUAAAAUCUAAUCUAAGAUCGUUUAUGCAUAAUGAACCUUGCAGAAAUGAAUCAUUC